UACGUAGGGCGCAAGCGUUGUCCGGAAUUAUUGGGCGUAAAGAGCUCGUAGGCGGUCUGUCGCGUCGGAUGUGAAAGCUCGAGGCUUAACCUCGGGUCUGCAUCCGAUACGGGCAGACUAGAGGCAGGUAGGGGAGAACGGAAUUCCCGGUGUAGCGGUGAAAUGCGCAGAUAUCAGGAGGAACACCGGUGGCGAAGGCGGGUCUCUGGGCCGAAACUGACGCUGAGGAGCGAAAGCGUGGGGAGCGAACAGG
rnacentral:rRNA from 1 species